ACCAAGAUCAAUCGGGCUUCGGUCCGUUUUGUGUGGUGACUCUGGAUAACUUUGUGCUGAUCGCACGGCCACGAGCCGGCGACGUUUCUUUCAAGUGUCUGCCUUAUCAACUGUCGAUGGUAGGUUAUGCGCCUACCAUGGUUGUUACGGGUAACGGAGAAUCAGGGUUCGAUUCCGGAGAGGGAGCCUGAGAAACGGCUACCACAUCCAAGGAAGGCAGCAGGCGCGCAAAUUACCCACUCCCGGCACGGGGAGGUAGUGACGAAAAAUAACAAUACGGGACUCUUUUGAGGCCCCGUAAUUGAAAUGAGUACACUCUAAAUCCUUUAACGAGGAUCCAUUGGAGGGCAAGUCUGGUGCCAGCAGCCGCGGUAAUUCCAGCUCCAAUAGCGUAUACUAAAGUUGCUGCGGUUAAAAAGCUCGUAGUUGGAUCUCAGUUACAGGCGGGAAGUGCGUGGACACCACGUUACGGCCCGUGCUGAACAUCAUGCCUGUCGUGGCUUGGUUCCCUUCAUCAGGUGCCUUGCUUUGGCCGGCGCGUUUACUUUGAAAAAAUUAGAGUGCUCAACGCAGGCGAUUCGCCUGAAUAACAGUGCAUGGAAUAAUAGAACAAGAUCCUGUUUCUGUUCUGUUGGUUUUUGGAAUACAGGAUAAUGAUUAAGAGGGACAGACGGGGGCAUUCGUAUUGCGGCGCUAGAGGUGAAAUUCUUGGACCGUCGCAAGACGAACUACUGCGAAAGCAUUUGCCAAGAAUGUUUUCAUUGAUCAAGAACGAAAGUUAGAGGUUCGAAGGCGAUCAGAUACCGCCCUAGUUCUAACCAUAAACGAUGCCAACCAGCGAUCCGCCUGAGUUACUCAAAUGACUCGGCGGGCAGCUUCCGGGAAACCAAAGUAUUUGGGUUCCGGGGGAAGUAUGGUUGCAAAGCUGAAACUUAAAGGAAUUGACGGAAGGGCACCACCAGGAGUGGAGCCUGCGGCUUAAUUGACUCAACACGGGAAAACU
rnacentral:rRNA from 1 species